UGCGGGGGAGAUGGGAAAACCGGGAUUUAGUCCCCUCCUUAGGCCUGCGGAAGUCAGAAUUCUGGCAUAAGACUGGUAGAGCAUUAUGCCCACCUUACUACAAAUAAAAAUUGCCUCUCUAAGGAGUUUUAUAUUAGUACUCAGGACUGCAGGAAAAUUUCAUGGAAGAACCCAAGACAUUUUCAAAUUGGAGAACCGAUUGGAUGGAUGAGGUAAGGCCACAUUUUGGAAGCUUUGAAUAUCCACAUGAGUUGAUUAAA